AUCUAUGGCCAAACCACCCUGAAUGCGCCUGAUCUUGUCAGCUAAGCAGGGUCGGGCUUGGGGAGUGAUUGGACGGAAGACUCAUAAUACUGUUAUAGGUA
rnacentral:rRNA from 1 species